rnacentral:rRNA from 1 species
CAUGCCGUAAACGAUGAGUGCUAAGUGUUGGGAGGUUUCCGCCUCUCAGUGCUGCAGCUAACGCAUUAAGCACUCCGCCUGGGGAGUACGACCGCAAGGUUGAAACUCAAAGAAAUUGACGGGGGCCCGCACAAGCGGUGGAGCAUGUGGUUUAAUUCGAAGCUACGCGAAGAACCUUACCAGGUCUUGACAUCUUCUGCAAUCUGUAGAGAUACAGGGUUCCCUUCGGGGACAGAAUGACAGGUGG